CGUGGCUUCUCUUCAAGGAUAAAAGCUGGAGGACGUGGGUGACUCAUUCUUUUCGAUUGUUGGGGGAGCUCGGUGUGCGGUUGUUGUUGGGAGAUGAAGGAGUAUUCGGUACUGAAGGAACAAGUUUUACACUGGGUUGGUAUGCAUGCUGCUCUGAUUCUGAGGAUAAAUACAAGAAAUCAACUUGUAUGACAAGAUCUGCAAUAAUUUCUAGAAAUCUUGCAGUGUAUCUUCUGAGGAAUAAACCUGGUAUAAAGCAGUGCUUCAGAGCCCAACUAGACAGGAUUAACCUUCUUGCCCUUAAUCUUUAUUUUAUUGCUUUUCCCAGUGUAAUGGCUUUCUCAAGGGAGCUGGCUUCAUUUGUUCAUCAAUCUGGCUGAAUUUGUUCUCUGGCUAUCUAGGGUACUCUCAAAAGGAGUCCUUGGUGCUCUCUGAGCUUGGUUGCUUUCUUGAUAUUUCAUUAUCCAAUUAGGCAACAUCUUCAGGGUUAGAAAAACAGCAGUUUGCCCUCAGACACAGCUAAGUUAUUGCAGAACCACCUUUCCCUAAGAAUAUCUACUCAUCAUACCAGGUCAGAUAGGGCAUGCACUCUCCUAGUCCCUUCACUUAAAUUUUGCCAUCUGAUGGGAGCUAGGAAAUGUGCUUUUUCUAUGCCAACCCCUGCCUUGUGCUCCCUGAUUUUUGGCAGACCCCUACUCUCAUAGCCUUGUAAAGCUUUUGAUGGCCUGGCUUUUCACCCGAGUAUAAGAUAAGAUACUAUGAUUUGGCUCAAGGUUUUUGAUAUUUUAAAUGUGCAUUAUGGUGUUUGUUUUUACUUUUGAUGAGAGCUGCCCUGAGUUGAUUAUAAAAUGGGCUGCUAUAUAAAUAUUACAAAUAAAUGACAUUAAUAUUUGGGCAUCAGUGAACUGAAAUGAUGAACUGGACAUUGUCAGCCAUGAUUACACAAUCAGGACAUAAAAAAUGAAGCAGUGAUCUUAGUCAAAAAUAUAGCUAAGUUAAUAUUUGGGUUCAAUGCAGCAGUGACUAGUAUCAGUUAGAUUUCAUGGUUAACCUGUUAUUACUGUGCAGGUGGUCCUCAACUUAUGACCAUAAUUGAGCCCAAGAUUUAUAUUGCUAAGCAAGACAUUUGUUGAGUUUUGCUCCAUUUUGUGACCCUUUCUUGCCACCGUUAAGUGAAUCAUUGCCGAGUGUGAGACUGGUUUACCCAUUAACUCUCUUGUCAGGUUGCAAAGAUGCUUACAUGAUUCCAGGACACUGCAACCAUCGUAAAUGUGAGUCAGUUGCUAACUGUCUGAAUUUUGAUCACAGUGGUGAUCAAUGGAAAGAAGUGUGAAAAAUGGUCAUUUAGUCACUUUUCAGUGAUGUAGUAACUUUCAGCAGUCACUAAAUGAACUGUUGUAAGUUGAGGACUACCUUUAGUUAAUCAAAUACCCCAACCACUGAUGCACAUUGAAUAUAUCCAUUGGUAGACACUGAAGGAAGAAUUUUAUUUCAAUAGCAGAGUAAAGUGAAAGAACAAAAUCUAGCCAGAAUGGUUGUUAGCAUGUACUUGUGACAUAAAUGCAAUAAAAACGUAUUGAGAUUCUU